CCGGAAUGUGCCGGAAGGUGAAAGGCUUGCUGCCUGUAGAUGAGCUCGCGUCUGAUUAGCUAGUAGGUGGGGUAAGAGCCUACCUAGGCGACGAUCAGUAGCUGGUCUGAGAGGACGAUCAGCCACACUGGGACUGAGACACGGCCCAGACUCCUACGGGAGGCAGCAGUGGGGAAUUUUCCGCAAUGGGCGAAAGCCU
rnacentral:rRNA from 1 species